ACCUUUGGGGCAGGGUGAAAUUCCCGAUCGGCGGUAUAGUCCGCGAGCAUGGCCAAGCCGUGCAGGAGCCGGUGUGAUUCCGGUACCGACAGUAUAGUCUGGAUGAUAAAAGGUG
rnacentral:ncRNA from 1 species